rnacentral:rRNA from 1 species
UACGGAGGAUGCAAGCGUUAUCCGGAAUGAUUGGGCGUAAAGGGUCCGCAGGUGGCAAUGUAAGUCUGCUGUCAAAGAAUGAGGCUUAACCUCAUCAAGGCAGUGGAAACUACAUAGCUAGAGUACGGUCGGGGUAGAAGGAAUUCCUGGUGUAGCGGUGAAAUGCGGAGAGAUCAGGAAGAACACCGGUGGCGAAAGCGUUCUGCUAGACCUGUACUGACACUGAGGGACGAAAGCUAGGGGAGCGAAUGGG